GGGCGGGCUCGGCCACCCCCGGCCCCGCGCAUGGAGCACAGCGACGGCGACCCGGCCGCCGGACAGCUCGGCUUGCCUGCGGGACCCGGGCAGCAGCAGGAGCCACCGCAGGCAGCGGAGGGGGAGGCGGAGCCCGAGGAGGAGGAGGAGGCGGUAACGGUGAUGGCGGCAGACGCCGAGCACAUCGAGAUGGGAGCACCGCCAAUGCCAAGCGCCGACGAGGCCGCCGCUGCCGCUGCCUUCGCAGAAGUCACCACAGUGACAGUAGCCAACGUGGGGGCCUCUGCAGACAAUGUUUUCACCACAUCUGUGGCCAAUGCAGCUUCAAUUUCAGGACAUGUGUUGUCUGGGAGAACAGCCCUCCAAAUUGGUGACAGCUUGAACCCUGAAAAAGCCACUCUGAUAGUGGUGCACACGGAUGGCAGCAUCGUUGAAACCACCGGGAUCAAGGGGCCUUCGGCACCUCUCACACCAGGACCACAGUCUCCUCCUACCCCAUUGACAGCCGUCCAGGGGAAAAGCGGAACCAAGUACAACUGGGACCCGUCUGUGUAUGAGAACGAGCUGCCGGUGCGGUGUCGGAAUAUCAGUGGCAUUCUGUACAAGAACAGGCUCGGCUCAGGAGGCCGUGGCAGGUGCAUUAAGCAAGGGGACAACUGGUACAGCCCCACGGAGUUUGAAGCCAUGGCGGGGCGAGCCAGCAGCAAGGACUGGAAGAGGAGCAUCCGCUAUGCCGGGCGGCCCCUGCAGUGCCUUAUCCACGAUGGGAUUUUAAAUCCCCACGCUGCCUCGUGUACUUGUGCUGCUUGCUGUGAUGACAUGACACUGAGCGGCCCUAUACGACUCUUUGUGCCAUAUAAAAGGCGGAAAAAAGAAAAUGAAAUACCUGCAACUCCAGUGAAGAAGAAUUGCUCCAAAAACAUCACUCUGCUUCCAGCCACUGCUGCAACUACGUUCACCGUGACUCCCUCUGGACAGAUCACAACCUCCGGGGCACUGACCUUCGACCGGGCGUCCACCGUGGAGGCCACGGCCAUCAUCUCGGAGAGCCCAGCACAGGGGGAUGUUUUCACUGGAGCCGCUGUUCAGGACACCAACGUCCAGCAGCCUUGCCGAGUGUCUCAUCCAGAGCCUCACUAUCCCAGUUACCAGGACAACUGCCAGAUCUCACCUUUCCCUGAGGCUGCACUGCCAACAUCUCAUCCGAAAAUCGUGUUGACCUCUCUGCCUGCCCUGGCGGUGCCCCCCACGACGCCCACCAAAGCCAUGUCACCGUCGGUGGUGAACGGGCUGGAGGUGACGGAGCAGCGGAGCUGGCUCUACCUGGAGGAGAUGGUCAAUUCCCUGCUCAGCACAGCACAGCAGCUGAAGACUCUGAUUGAGCAGGCCAAGCAGGCCAGCUCCUCCUUCCGCGAGGCCGCUGUCACACAGGCCAAGAUCCAGGCUGAUGUGGAGAGGAAAGAGAUCCACAGCUGCCUCUUUGAUAUUCUUUGCCACGUGGGCUCUGCUAAACUCUCCCAUACGCUGCAUCCUUGAUGUGCAGGUGUGUGAUAUGUUGGGAGUGUAAUCCUUCCCUGCCUUCCUCCUGCAGAACAGGUGCCAGUGCUGCUGGCCAGGUUUGGGCUGGCUGCUGCUGGAAAGCUGCACAGAGUGUGGGACACUGAAACAUUGGAAGCUUUGGCACAGUUCAGAGAUAAACAUCUGCUUUCAUUUAACUUCACUCUGCUCUUUUUCCAGUCUGUGUGCAUCUUCCCUUGUGUUUAUCCUCACAGUGGUUUCUGGAAUGGUUGUUCAAUCCCUUCUCCACACCCUCUGAUCCAAAGCCAGCUCUCUUUGAUGUUCUUCUAGUUACUUCUUGUCCUGGGAAUGGGAGUUAAAAUCCCUCCUGUGUAUGGAUUAAAGCUGACUUGACAUGGGAAGGAUGAGCACGUGAUUGUUUCCAGAGAAAACCUCUUUCCCAGGAUCUACUGCAUCCCCAGUUACAGCACUUGUGUCUCAUCAUUCUGUGUGUAAUGGGGAUCUGCACACUUGUGCAUUUUGGUAGAACUGUGUGCUCAUGGUGGUAUUUUUUAUCAUCCAGACAAUUCUGAGCUGUGCUGGCUCCUGGAACCAUCUGGGCAGUAUCACAGACCUUCCGAGGGUAAGCAAACAGGGGGCACCUUUCCUGGUGGCGUCGUUGUGUCAGAGCUGCAGAGCAAGGCUGGACCGCAGAUGGGAUGAUAACAGAGACGCAGACUCAGCUCUUCCUGGAGGAGUGACUUAGUACAGAGCAGGAUUGUAGAGACCUGAUAGAAACAGGCUGGUUCCCAAGUGGAUACACAAACUUAGGUGCCUUGUUGUAUGUUACACAUCACUCACUAUAAUGUGUUUCGGUAUGAUAUUUAUUAUUUGAUGUGCUUUGGAGUCAUUAAAUAUCACAAAUGAGCUGUCCUGCUCCCAUAGAGCAGCAGUUUUGUUGCCUUAGCUUUAAAUAGCAGGAGCUGUGCUCUGUACUGGGCUGUGUUGGUGCUUGUGGGACUCACGCAGCUCAGAAGUGUGUCUGACAUGAGGGUUUUGCACUCUGCCUCCCUACUCAUAGGAUCUCAGCCCUGUGCCAGGGGCUGGGGACAUCCUUAUCCCUUCUGAAGGAACUGUUCCAAGUGCUGGAGCUAAAGGCUUCACCAGCAGGGAGGUGUUUUAGCACAUAAUUUAGUGUUUUGGCAGUUCUGACAUGCACUCAGUUGCUCUCUUUGCACUUCUUAAUUUCUGUAAAUUUGUUCAAGGGUCAUGGUUUGUUGGGCAAAUUUCAAGACUGAGGACCUCCUUCAAAUUUUAUUUCCAUCUUUCCCACAAGUCAUUUUGAUGCCCCUGGGUAAGUCCUUGGCCUCACUGUGCCUCAGAUGAAAAUAACCCUUCCCAGACAGCUCGUGUGCGAGUUUGCAAAGUGUUAGGAUUCUCUGAGUAAGGUUACAUUUGUGUUACUUAGAAGUCCUGGGGAACGACAUCCUGAAAGAAAAGCAAACCAUGAGCCCUCUAGCACCAUGUUAUAUGUAUGAACUUCCAAAAUGUGUCAUGAUAUUGCAAAAAAUUGAAAUGUUGAGAUAUUUACAAGGUUUUUCCGAAUUGCGGCAUUUUAUGUGGGAUUAGUUAAAUACAACUGCUUUGGUGGAAUCUCAUGUGGCUGUUAAGAAAACAGUUCUUGAGUAUCAUUAGUAAUUAUAAUUAGGUUGUAGCUGAGUAUCUGAUCCUUAGGUUAGUAUGUCCAUGUUGGAUUUACUGCAUUUUUUCAUAAGGGAAAGACAUUUAGGAAUUCAGGGUGAGUGGGGUAACAAAGACUCAGUGUCUCUUGCAAUGGAUAUUUGACAUUUGCAGAUCAGGCCCAAAAUGAAGAGUUUAAGGACAGGACUGACAUGUGUUGGUGUGCUUGGGCAGUGUAAUUUUUUUGAGUGUGCAUUAAUCCAUUGUUUAUAUCAGAUAAACUUUAGGAUGGGGAGAUUACACAUGCUCACCAAAUUCUGUGCCAGCAUUGCUGGGGGAUAAUAAAGAUAUUCAGGAGCUGUGUUAAAUGGAUUUUCUGUAUAAAUUGAAGAGAAUCAGUGUUGAAAUCUGACAAGUGUUUUAAUUGGAAUAUCCCUCUGUAAAGCAGGGAUACUUCCGGAGCCCUGCUCAUUUGAAAGCAAGGUGGAAAAUUAAAUCAGCAAACAGCUGGGGCAUCUGAAUGCUUUUUUAGAAGGAUUAAACCAAUUCAGGACUGGAGAGUAUGAAAUUAAUUUAAAAAGGGUUGGACAGUUAAGAAAUAUGUCUCUGGUCAGCAAACAGUGCCUUGUGUACUCCAAACUAGCAAGCGAUACUCUUGGGAAUUGGAGGUUCUGGGUUUUGUGGAGCUGUUUUUGUGAGAGAUCUGAAUGUGUCUGGCUCGUUCCUCUCUCUUGUCACACCUUUUCCUUCUCCAUGGUUGGUGCAUGGCUGGAAUUGCCAUGUCAAAUAGGCCAGAACCAAAUCACACCCCUGGCAGGCCACAGCAAGAAGUUUCCCUGCCUCCGCCUCCAUCUGCCUGGAUUUUUUUAACUUAAUUUCUGUCAUGGUUAUAUAAAGGUUUUGAAGGUUGUGGUUUCACAGGAGAAUAAAUACUGUGCUCUCAGGUCAUACACUUGUAAAUUAAGCCUUUUAUCUCCUUUUGGGUUGAGUGAACUCCUGGAUGAACCUGCUUGGCCUGGAGGAUGGGGUUCAACUUUUUUCAGAGUUUUUAACUGUUCCAAAUACGUUUAAGCCAGGGUUAGCACAUAAUUAAUUUGUGAUUGUGUUUGGGUGUUGUUGGUUUGGGACUCCUGUCCCCCACUGUUGAGUGUAUUGCUGCUACAACAGGUACAGCAGCACCUGGUUGGGCUUGAGCUGAUGUGAAGUGACUCUGCCAGGCAGCCAAAGCGGGCCCAAAGCAGGCUGUGAACAUCACCUCCAGAGAAGUGAUGGAGUCACAACUUGUUCUACAGCCCUCUCACUCUUCUGUUGCAAGGAGGAGUAAUGGUUAUGCAAUACCAGAGCCAGUUAUUCCAACAAACAGAGGAUGUGGACGGGAAGACAGAAAUCAUCAUCAAGCAAUCCUGCGUCAACUGCGGUCGGG